rnacentral:lncRNA from 1 species
GAAGCCCCAGCAAACUCACGGGGACGAGGGCAGGGCAGGGUGCAACGCACCGAGCUGCUUGCCCAGCCUCCUUCUCCUUGCUUGCAGGGUCAGGCUCACGUGCAACAUGAGCAUCCCGAGGUUUGUGCAACGAGGGGGUUUUGCUCCCCGGGGGUUGCCGAUGCAGAGCGAGGGAUGCUGCAGUGCCACGUUCUCCCCAUUGCCCCUACUGGUUUGGGGGCCGUGGGCUGCUGGGAGCACUGGGGGUUCACUGCCCCUUCCUGCAGCCCCCCACGCACAUCCUGGCUCCCUCGUUAGCCUGACCCCUGAUUACACUCCGCAGGCUCCGUAUCGCCGCCGUCGCCCUGGCAACGUGUCGUCUCCACGGCAACCGUGACAACCUUAUGUUCAUUAAUUUAAAAAGGUUCACGGUGUAACAAAUGAAAUAGUUAGGAGCUUGUCAGGGUGUUAAGGAGCAGGGGCUGACAACUCGCCCUCCUGUCAGCGCCCACCGGAGCUGCUGAGCCUCGUGGUCCGGGAGCAUCCCAGCAGCGCUGCAUCCCUGCGCUCUCGCUGGGGAUGCUGGGUUUGGUGCACAGCCAGAGGACACCGAGGUCACCCCUCCCUCCCUCCCUCCUUCCUUCCUUCCCUUCCUCCCUCCCUUCCCCUCCCUCCCUUCCUUCCUCUCCCUCCCUCCUUCCUUUCUCUUCUUCCUCCCUCCUUCCCUUCCUCCCUCCCUUCCUCUACCUCCCUUCCUUCCUCUCCUUCCUUCCUUUCUCCCUCUCCCUUCCUCCUUUUCUCUCCUUCCUCUCUCCCUCUCCCUCCCUCCUUUCUUCCCUCCUUCCCUCCCUUCCUUCCUUCCUUCCUUCCUUUCUUCCUCCCUUCCUCCCUCUCCCUUCCUCCUUUUCUCUCCUUCCUCUCUCUCUCUCCGUCCCUCCCUCCUCCUUCCUUCCCUCCUUCCCUCCCUUCCUCCCUCCUUCCUCUCCCUCCCUCCUUCCUUUCUCUUCUUCCUCCCUCCCUCCCUUCCUUCCUCCCUUUCUCUCCUUCCCUCUUCACCUUCCUUCCUUUUUCUCCUUUCUUCCUUCCUCCCUUCCUCCCUUCCUCCCUCUCCCUUCCUCCUUCCUUCCCUCCUUCC